GUGUCAUUUAUUGUGUGUCAUAAUAGGCCUCUUGGUUCAGCGCUCACGGCUUUUGUCUCUGGGCGGCGUUCUCUAUCGGCAGUGGAGAUGCAGGCCCAGGUUAAGAAGCUCCUGGCCCCUAGGCCUGCAUCUACAGCCUCCCACUUCAGCCCCUUCAGACCAGCUCUGUCCUCCCCCCGGUCAUUUGUGGAGCCUUCGGAUGAAGAGCUGGUCAGGGCGGUAGUUGACUUGGAGACGUAGGAGGACAGCAGAUGACUGCCUCAGAUGCAAAGGAACCUCUGCUCCUGCCACCACCCGCCGCCACCACCACCACC